CAUAAGCCACAAAACAUUGUUGAUUUGUGUCUGCGCUUGUUGACUUGUGGUUACUUGUUUGAACAAUCAACAAUGACAACAAUAAUUAAGGCAUUCUUGCUAACAUUACUUUUACAUGAAAUUGAUUGUCAAACCUUCACGCAGUCUCAAGCUGUGGUUAAAAGACCUGAUGAAUCUUUUAAACUGAUCUGCACCGCUUCUGGAUUUACAUUCAGUAGUUAUGAGGUAGCUGUGGUUAGACAGGCUCCUGGUAAAGGACUGGAAUGGAUUGCAUUCAUCAGUACAUCCAGCACUCCAAUCCACUAUUCCCAGUCAGUUCAGGGAAGAUUCACAGUGUCCAGAGACGACUCCAGCAGUCAACUGUAUCUACAGAUGAACAGACUAAAGGCUGAAGACACAGCUGUGUAUUACUGUACCAGACAGUCACAGUGAAUCAGUCCAAUGGC